rnacentral:rRNA from 1 species
UACGAAGGGGGCUAGCGUUGUUCGGAAUUACUGGGCGUAAAGCGCACGUAGGCGGGUUGUUAAGUCAGGGGUGAAAUCCUGGAGCUCAACUCCAGAACUGCCUUUGAUACUGGCAACCUAGAGACUGGAAGAGGUUAGUGGAAUUCCCAGUGUAGAGGUGAAAUUCGUAGAUAUUGGGAAGAACACCAGUGGCGAAGGCGGCUAACUGGUCCAGCACUGACGCUGAGGUGUGAAAGCGUGGGGAGCAAACAGG